CCAUAGGCAGGGCCACCCAGGCCUGCAGUGGUGGCAACUCCAUCCCAGUCGGAAGCCUGGACCCCACAAGUUGUUUCCCUCCACUGUUUCAUACUGACAGAGGAAAGAGACAGAAAUGGAGACAGAAAGGCGGGCCUCCAAAGAUGUGCAAGCUUGUAGGACCUGAUUUUCCUCUCCUCAAACUAAAGGAGACCAGGCUGUCAGGCUCUGAGCCAAAGCUCAGCCAUUAUAACCUCUGUGACCUGCACAUACAUACACAUCCAGGUGGCCUGCAGGAGCCAAGAAAUGGGGAGCAGUCAAAAAACCACAAAGAAGGAAAACAGCCAGUUCCUGGCUUAACUGAUUAACCAACAUUACAACAUUUUACUAUUGUGACUUGUCGCUGCCCUACCUUAGCUGGCCAAUCGACUUUGUGACAUUCUUCUUCUGGACAAUGAAUCUUAUGAUCUCUCCACCAUGUACGUUGUAACCCCCUCCUCUGCUAACAAUAACCACAUUUUACUGUAAUUUUCCAUUACCUACCCAACUCCCUUCCCCAUUUCCCUUUGCUGACUCUCUUUUCGGACUCAGCCCACUUGCACCCAAGUGAAUAAACAGCUUUAUUGCUCACACAAAUCCUGUUGGUGGUCUCUUCACACGGACGUGCUUGACACAGGCAAAGGAGAAGGAGGAAGGGAAGGGGGAGCAGCUCUGGAACAAGAGAGGAGGGUUCUGCAGAGGCAGGCGGGAGUUCUUGGGGUGAAGCAUUUAUUCAUGGGAGGAGAGGCUCACAGGAUAUGACCUCAGUAAGCAUCCAGUCCUUGUCACAUAGUCUUAGGCACGGCCUACUGCCUGACAAUCCCAGACACAUUGGAACAGAGGGGCAGGGCCCUGGGAAGGGGCUUGAAGGGAAACUUCCCUACCUCCCUUUCCUGCACACCUGGCCCUGGCUGGAAUAGAAAAGCAUCAUUUGGGAAUAGAGAGCAGCUGUGGAUCCAUCACGGCUAUCCCGCACACCAUCAACACCACUGACACCUUCACCAACAUUUCUAAUUCUGCCUUAACCUCUCCACUGGGCUGCAGACUUACAUCCAGUUGUCUCUAGGACAUGUUCACUGACUUGUCCAACAGACACUGGCACUCACCAGCCUCAGGGGAAAGGCACUACCUUCCACCCACAGUCCAACCCCCAGAUCAGGGAAUCGCAAUUCCUCCUUUCUCUACAUCCUCCACCUGCAGGUCUUCAGGGUGCGACUCUGGGCAGGUCGUACUCUCCCUCCACUUAGGAUUUCUCAUCUGGAGAAUGGGAUAAUGCCAGCCCCAGCUUCCAGACUGUUGUAAGGAUUCAAUAGGACGGAUCAUGUAAUGCCCUUAGCCCAGGGGUUUGUGCAGGCAGCAGUCAAUAUGUCUUCAUCAUUGUUCUUGUUGGCUGGGCCAAGAGACCCUGCUUGAUAGGAGAAUCAAGUUCUGCAGUGAAGUUGGUGGUCUGGAAGCCGGACUCUAGCAAGGGGUAUUUUGGCCUGGGUGUAGGCAGUCCCCACUCUCCACUUAUUAGUCGCUCUCUGGCCUGUGGUCAGAAGCCUCCAAGGGACUGUCCCAUGUGCAGUGUUGUCAGCAGUGGCCAUGCAAAUGGUGCCCGUGGGGCUGGCAGCACUACCCUGUCCCCAGCUGCCCGCAGUUGGUGACCUCUUCUUCCUAACACUUUGCUUUUGGUUUACCUCCUCAGCAUGGGCCUGCAUUUCCACUGCGUAAUAGAACUAAGCUGUGGGAGCCAGUGUGGGCGGCAAGGGGACUUGGUGGCAUUUGAGAAGCAUUGGACAGCAGACACUCCUUGGUCAGCCCUCCCCUCUGAAAAGCAGAACUCUGUGCUGCAGCCCAGACACUGGAGAGCACCAGCCUGUCUCCUCCACCCUCCAGCGAGAUGCGGGAGAAAUAUUCUCUCUCAUUCUUUCUCCUGAGUUGUGCCUACUUCCAUUUUAAAUUCCGCCAAAUGAUCCCUUAAUCUAAUAGCAAUUGCUAACAGCCUGGCCCUGAGAAGUCCUCUCUGCAUUUCAAUUCCUGCAUUAUCCCCUUCUUGCUGGCUUAGUAGAGCCUCUAUUCCUUGAUGCUUUCUAAGGCAACUAAUCACUCAAACGAGGCAGAAUAAACCCAUUUAGACCAAACAUGAAUUAUUUGCAAGCCAAACCCAGCACUGAUGUUGGUCUAAGGUAUUUGGAGCGUUAUUUACAUUUGUAAGUGCAGGCAUUUUGAUGCUAAACCUCAGGUUAAGCUCUGGGAAGCCUGACUGGCCCUGCUAGCAGCAUUCUACUGCCAGGAGCCCUGCGGCUGGGGCAGUCUAGCUGGGACCCUCUGCCUGUCUGUGGACAGUGGGUGCUCUGGGUCUGCGUGUUCCCCAAGGUGAGGCUGGCUCUCUUUGCUCUCGGUAAUCCCACCAUCCUGCAGGGACCCAGAGCACUCGGCCCUCAGAAAAUGGGGCUGUCAGUGGGAGGGCGAAUUUAUCUUCUAGCUAGGGAAGCAAGAAGGAUGCUGCUUUUCCUAAGGCUGUUUCAGGUGCCAGAAGAGGCCCACUCAAGAUGCCUCAGGAGGGCUUUCAGCCUGUGGAAUCUGCGGUUUUGAGAACCUGGGGCCUGGAGCAAAAGAAUAGCAGGGCCCCUAGGCUGGGCCUGGGUGAGGAACAGUGCAGUACUGAGCCCACUUGUUUGGACCGAAUGCCUGUUCCCCCCAGAUGCUUAGGCUGAAGCCCCAGCCCCCAAUAUAACUGCAUUAGGAGGUGUGGCCUUUGGGAGGUAACUGGGUUUAGAUGAGGUCAUGAGGGUGGGGCCUUCAGAAUAGAAUUAGUGCCCCUACAAGAAGAGACCAGGGAGCUUGCUCUCAUUCUCUACCAUGUAAGAAGGUGGCUACCUGCAGGCCAGGGAGAGGGCCUCCCAGAACUGGACCCUGCUGGCACCUGAGAUCAGGCCUCCAGCCCCAGGAGUAGGAGAAAUAAAUCUCUGUUGUUGAAGCCACCCAGCCUGUGGCGUUUCGUUAUGUCAGCCCUUGACUAAUCCAUAUUCAUUCUCAUUCUCUCUCCCCUCUCUGUAUGGGGUUUCUGCUCCUCUUUGCUGCUCGGCCUGCUCCCUUCUCCUCCUCUCUCCUCCUCCUCACUCACCUCUGCCUCCACACUCUGUCAAGAGAAUGGCUCAAGAGAGCCGGCCUCAGUACUCCCUGGGGAAAGACCUGCUUCGCCCCCAGCUAGCAGGGGACUUUCUUCUAGGUCUCUCGGAUUAAAUCCUGAGAGGUGAGUCUGCUUAUCUAGGCCGCCCCCUCCGCGGGCGCACCGAUGCCUGGCACUGCCCGCCGGGGCGUGGGCGCGCCCACACCGUCCACCCUGCUCCUGCCCAGAGCGGGUCCUCUGCCGAAGGAAUUUGCGCUGGCAGCUCCCGGAGGGUCUGGCCCGCACGCGGCAGGGCAAUAAAGCCUGCAAACGUGUGGGAGCGGGGGUGAUGGGGGUCCAGAGGACGGGGCUUUGCAGGGACGUGGAGGGACUACAGGCAGCUGCGACCGUCUGCCCUGCCAUCGCUACCUGUGUAUACGCACUCGCACUCCAUGUAACCUUCACAGCCACCAGCAGGCCGCGGCCGGGCCGCCCUGCAGAGGAAGGAGCGGGUCCCAGUGCCCAGGGGCUUCCCGCGGUGGGGGGUUGGGCGGGGCGGGGGCUCCACUCUGGGGGCGUGGCUGACAGAAGGCCCCGCCCCCUCCCCGCCCGCGGGUGAAACCACCCCCGAGGCCCGGACGCACGCGGACCUGCGCUCAGGUUUCCCUGGGCUCUGUUGCCGUUCACUGUCCCGGGGAGCGCCCAGGUGAGCGAUCCUCGCCGCGGAGCUCCCGGACCCAGCAGCCUGGGAGGCUGGGGUCCGCCUUCUUCCCAGGCCCGCUCGCCUCGGGUGCUGGCUGGAGGGCUGUGGCGCGGGAUGGUAGGACUAGCGCUGAGCAGGUGGGAUUAAGCUCUCCAAUGAAACAUGGCCCCACCACACUUUGGUUUGGAGGCAAACACCCAGUAGCGUUACAGACUGAAACACCAUCAGCAGCAACACCUUGGCGUGACGUUAUCAGAUCUUUUCCCCCUAGACUGAGAAUUGUACUAGAGAACAGACUUUUGGCCAGGUUUGAAGAUUCUCUUGCAAUGCGCCAUCGCCCCUGACAGUCUUCAGCAUAGAAAAAUACAUGACAACCGUGGCCAUGGGUACUAGGCUUCGCUGCGCCCACCCUGGAGCCUGCCACCAGGGUUCCCACGACGGCUUCACUUCGUCCUGGCUGCGUGAGCAAGGCCCUUAAUCUUCUGACACCGCAGUUCCUCGUCUGUGAAGUGGGUGUAAUAUCACCUGCCUCUAGAGGCAUGCGAGGGAGCAGCAGUGCCUUGAAAGCAUCAAUGGCUCAGUUAGAAAAACACCGCCAUAAUAACUAGUGUCUACAAGCCAAUCUGCACACGAUGUAGCUCUGUUACACGAUCUCCUUUGAGUCACAAAUAGCUUGGAAGUUGUUAUGACUCCCAUUUUACAGAUGGAGAAACAGGCUCAGAGAGAUUAAGAGCCUGGGCUUUUAAGCGGUGAGAUAGGAGUCAAGCCCCGGCUGUUUGAUUCCAAAUCUGCGGAGUCCUGAAAGACCUCAGGCUUCCGGGGCAGCUGGAUUUAGGGUUGAGGGCUGGUGGCCUCUUCGAGCUGCAGUUUCCUCACAUGUAAAAUGGGGAUGAUGCUAUGGGUCUGCAGAGGUGCAGGCAGCAGAUGUCUGUAAUGGAGGUCAUUACCAUUAUUCCACACCCGCAUCCGUUCAGCAGGCACAAGUGGACUUCGCUGCUUUUGCUUGUUGAUGUCUGGGCUUAGCCUGUCUGUCUACAAAACGAU
rnacentral:lncRNA from 10 species